rnacentral:hammerhead_ribozyme from 1 species
AUCCAACUGAUGAGUCCCAAAUAAGACGAAAUGAACUUCCUGAAU